rnacentral:rRNA from 1 species
CAUUUGUCACAUAACUUUCGUAAAAUAUGCAUAUCUAAUUAAUAAAACACAUGUCGGUUAUUUUUCUAAUACGUAUGUUUUUUAGUUUAAAUUAUCCAUGUAUUUUGUAAUUCGGUGUUUAGUCAAAUCAUACUUAUGCCCCCUCUUGAAACACGGACCAAGGAGUUUAAGGUGUUCGCAAGUUAGUGAGAUAUAUUGCAUUUCGAAACUCAAAAGCAUAAUGAAAGUGAAACAUUUAAUGUUUAUGAUGAGAAUAGUGGUUUAUUUUAAAAUUUACACUAUGCAACAUCACCCCAUGACUAGAACAUGUUCUGUUGUGGAGGUAGAGCGUACGCUUUGAGACCCGAAAGAUGGUGAACUAUGCCUGAACAGGAUGAAGCCAGA